rnacentral:ncRNA from 2 species
AUGAAAUUUGCGGGAAAUAUCCUUUAUACUCUCAGGAUAGCCGAAGAUGCAAUAUGGGCAUAGCCAACUGUCCAUAGAAACUUUCAGGCCCUCAGACCGCAUUUUGAUG